rnacentral:rRNA from 1 species
GACGAACGCUGGCGGCGUGCCUAAUACAUGCAAGUUGAGCGCUGAAGGUUGGUACUUGUACCGCCUGGAUGAGCAGCGAACGGGUGAGUAACGCGUGGGGAAUCUGCCUUUGAGCGGGGGACAACAUUUGGAAACGAAUGCUAAUACCGCAUAAAAACUUUAAACACAAGUUUUAAGUUUGAAAGAUGCAAUUGCAUCACUCAAAGAUGAUCCCGCGUUGUAUUAGCUAGUUGGUGAGGUAAAGGCUCACCAAGGCGAUGAUACAUAGCCGACCUGAGAGGGUGGUCGGCCACAUUGGGACUGAGACACGGCCCAAACCCCUACGGGAGGCAGCAGUAGGGAAUCUUCGGCAAUGGACGAAAGUCUGAACGAGCAACGCCGCGUGAGUGAAGAAGGUUUUCGGAUCGUAAAACUCUGUUGGUAGAGAAGAACGUUGGUGAGAGUGGAAAGCUCAUCAAGUGACGGUAACUACCCAGAAAGGGACGGCUAACUACGUG